UCUCUGUGACGAGCAAACAAAGAUGACGAGUCUGAAAAUCCAUUCUUUCAAUGUGAAGAAAAAUCGAGGCAUUUGUCUGAGAGAU